rnacentral:ncRNA from 1 species
UUUUUGGAGAGUUUGAUCCUGGCUCAGGACGAACGCUGGCGGCGUGCCUAACACAUGCAAGUCGAACGGCCUACUCGAGGUUCGAUAUUCGAGGUUCGAGGUUCGAUUUAAGGUAGUUUGUGUGGUGUAAAAGACCAUAAAGACUACUUGGGUCGAAUAUCGAAUAUCGAAUGUCGAACUUCGUGGGCAGUGGCGGACGGGUGAGUAACGCGUGGGUAACCUACCCAUAAA